ACUGUGGCAUGUCGACACUAACCACAAACUUAUCAGGUACAACAUUGUACUUUUUGGUGCAGUGGACGGCUACUCCAGGAAGGUGAUGUGCUUGAAUGCUGCAACAAACAAU